rnacentral:rRNA from 1 species
AAUAUUGGACAAUGGGGGAAACCCUGAUGCAGCGACGCCGCGUGAGCGAAGAAGGCCUNCGGGUCNUNAAGCACGUUUCUAAGGGNCGAUACGGACGGUACCUUAGGAGGAAGCCCCGCCUAACUGCGGGCCAGCAGCCGCGGUAAUACGUAGGUGGCGAGCGUUAUCCGGAAUUUUUGGGCGUAAAUGGUGCGUAGGCGGCUUUUUAAGUCAGGUGUGAAAGGCUACGGCUUAACCGUAGUGAGCAUUUGAAACUAAAAGGGUUGAGUGCAGGAGAGGAGAGUGGAAUUCCUAGUGUAGCGGUGAAAUGCGUAGAUAUUAGGAGGAACACCAGUGGCGAAGACGACUCUCUGGACUGCAACUGACGCUGAGGCACGAAAGCGUGGGGAGCGAAC